rnacentral:rRNA from 1 species
GACGAACGCUGGCGGCGUGCCUAAUACAUGCAAGUCGAACGAGAGCAACCGGUGCUUGCACUGGUCAAUCUAGUGGCGAACGGGUGAGUAACACGUGGGUAACCUGCCCAUCAGAGGGGGAUAACAUCCGGAAACGGAUGCUAAAACCGCAUAGGUCUUCGAACCGCAUGGUUUGAAGAGGAAAAGAGGCGCAAGCUUCUGCUGAUGGAUGGACCCGCGGUGCAUUAGCUAGUUGGUGAGGUAACGGCUCACCAAGGCCGUGAUGCAUAGCCGACCUGAGAGGGUGAUCGGCCACAUUGGGACUGAGACACGGCCCAAACUCCUACGGGAGACAGCAGUAGGGAAUCUUCCGCAAUGGACGCAAGUCUGACGGAGCAACGCCGCGUGAGUGAAGAAGGUUUUCGGAUCGUAAAACUCUGUUGUUAGAGAAGAACAAGUGCUAGAGUAACUGUUAGCGCCUUGACGGUAUCUAACCAGAAAGCCACGGCUAACUACGUG